ACGUAGUCAUGACGUAGCAACAUGGCGUCGAGCUAUUAUACCGACACGGCCAGUGCGUAGUGCUGCGUAGUACGCGGACGAUGCGGACGGUCGGAUCACGAGUGUCGCUGGUGAUCGGUGAGCCGUUGUCGAUAUGAGCGCGCCUCUGCUCGGCGUUCCCCUGGAGAAGAGUUUCGCGUGCAGUUUGUUUGUCGGCGCCACGUAUACGCGGGUAGAUCGCCGCGCUUUCCAUCAUCCGUAUUCGAUUCGAGACCUCUCUGAUGUCGAAGAGGUAUUUCCGCGCAGCACGAUUUUGUGUGAUAACGAGAGAAAGGGGGGUUUUACGGUGAUUAGCGAUUGUGGACAACGAGACACUCGAUGGCGACUUAUCCGCCCGGUGACCCGGGACGAAGAACAUCGCGGGAUUCUCGAGGAUUUGACGAAAGAUUUGUUUAUCAUUGCUAACGCAACGGACGCGGGAUGGACGGGCUUCGGAACGGAGGCGUUGUCGCGGCUCGUUUAACAGAACGCGAUGGAUGUAGGAUGGAUCGGAGCUGGAGCGAGUGGCGUCGCGAGAUUCUUGUAACAG